CAUUCUCCACAUGAGGGAACGGAAGCCCAGCCCAUCGUCAUCUGUCUCAGCCCUCUGAAAGGAAGCUCCAGAUACAGCAGAGCUUCUCAUAGGACGCCCCUUCUGCAAGCCUCACCAACAAUACCUUGCUUGCAGAAGGCACUCCCUCCUUAAGACAUAUUAGUACAUGAAAAUGACAAUCCGAAGAACACUUACCCUAUGGUCUCCAUGACAUAAAACUGAACAAGUUAUGUGUACAGGCUGAGCAGACAACCAGGAAGUGGAUGAACUCCAUCUCCGCAGCCACAGCCGCUCAUUUGCGCUGAACGAACGGAAGUCCCUAGGAAAGUGAUCUAAAGUCCUGCUAUUAAAAACAAACAUUCCUUCCAUAUGGAUCUUGAUUGCCUUCAGUCAUCAAGAGUCUUCAGGAAAUCUGAAGACCCAGAGCAAACCAGAAGUGUUGAGAGGGGAAAAAUGUGCAGAAAUGUCUGAGAGAAAACCCCCUACCCUUAGACAAAUUUUUCUUCUGAAAUUUUCUUCUUCAUUGCAAGUUUUACGUUGCCAGUUAAGCUAUAGGGCCUCGACAGAAAAUGAUGUGAAGUAUUUUCAGUAAAGUUGAUUAAACUGCAUGAUUUUAUUCACGCAUGUUCAGAAAAUGUUUAUUGUGGAACUACCAUUUUCCAGAAAGUGCCAGUGACACAGUCCUGCCCUCAGUGACUAGCUUUCCCAGUGAGUGGAAAGCUAACCUUGGAACCAAGCAGUUACAGUGCAGUGUGAUAACACGGGUCAUCAAACCCAAGAUUCUUCUGCUGUAAGAUGCAUCAUUAAUUUAUGUACCAUGAAGAAAAAUGCUGCCCACUGAACCAUGAUGUGUCAUGGAUUUUAUUACCUAUUCUAAUUUCAGAGGUGUGAAAAUGUGACGGGGUGGUAGGGAGGUGAGGGAUGUGCAUUUUAUUUUAUUUUAUUCUUUAUUUAUUUUGAGAGGCUGGGUCUCUUUCUGUCACUCAUCCAGGCUGGAGUGUAGUGGCACAAUCUCAGCUCACUGCAGCUCAACCUCGUGGGCUCAAGUGAUUCUCCCACCUUCUGAGUAGAUGGGACUAUAGGCGUGAGCCACCAUGCCCAGCUAAUUUUUUAAACUUUUUGUUGUUGUUGUUGAGACAAGGUCUCACUCCAGUGCUAUGGCUUGAUCUCAGCUCACUGCAACCUCUGCCUGCCAGGCUCAAGCAAUUCUCUUACCUCAGCCUUCCAAGUAGCUGGGACUAUAGGUGCAUGCCACCAUGCCCAGCUAAUUUUUGUGUGUGUGUAUUUUUGGUAGAGACAGGGUUUGGCCAUGUUGCCCAGGCUGGUCUCAAACUCCUGAGCUCAAGCAAUCCACCUGCCUCAGCCUCCCAAAGUGCUAGGAUUAUAGGCAUGAGCCUUGGCACCCAACCAUCAUUAUUUUUUAACUUUUUGUAAAGACAAUGUCUCAUUAUGUUGCCCGGGCUGGUCUUGAACUCUUGAGCUCAUGCAGUCCUCCCACUUUGACCUCUCACAGUGCUGGGAUUAUAGGCAUGAGCUACUGCACCUGGCCAGAACAUGCAUUUUAGAACUGAUGAAAUAUGUAAGGUAAAUCAGAUCCGAAGGAUAUACAGAAUAAGCCAAAGGGUAGGGUAUAGGGUAUAGGGGAGACUUAGAAGAAGGAAGUACUGUGCAGAGGGGACAGCUUGUGCUGGGAGGUCUGGAGGGAAGAGGGUAACUGCUUAUAGCUCAACAAGACUGGGGUUAGAGCCUGUGGGCUGGAAGGUGACAGAUGAGGCUGGAGGGGAAACAAGGACCAGAUUGUGGCCUGCCUUAUAAGUAGAUGGCCUUAGUCCCAGUUUACAUCUGUAGUGCUUCUUUUUGAUCUUAAGUGCCCUGUUGGACAAUAAAUUAUAUGAUCACCCUACUAAUAA